rnacentral:rRNA from 1 species
AUACGGAGGGUGCAAGCGUUAAUCGGAAUUACUGGGCGUAAAGCGCGCGUAGGCGGUUUGUUAAGUCGGAUGUGAAAGCCCCGGGCUUAACCUGGGAACUGCAUUUGAAACUAGUAGACUAGAGUAUGGUAGAGGGGGGUAGAAUUCCUAGUGUAGCGGUGAAAUGCGUAGAUAUUAGGAGGAAUACCAGUGGCGAAGGCGGCCCCCUGGACCAAUACUGACGCUGAGGUACGAAAGCGUGGGGAGCGAACAGGAUUAGAAACCCCGGUAGUCC